rnacentral:rRNA from 1 species
CCCUUAGAUGUCCGAGGCCGCACGCGCGCUACACUGAAGGAAUCAGCGUGGCUUUCUCCCUGACCCGAAAGGGUUGGGAAACCCGUUGAAUCUCCUUCGUGAUAGGGAUUGGGGCUUGAAAUUGUUCCCCAUGAACGAGGAAUUCCCAGUAAGCGCGAGUCAUAAGCUCGCGUUGAUUACGUCCCUGCCCUUUGUACACACCGCCCGUCGCUACUACCGAUUGAACGGUUUAGUGAGGGCCUCGGAUUGGUCUCGGCCCGCUCUUUACCGGGCGGCGCCGUUGGUCGAGAAGACGCUCGAACUUGAUCGUUUAGAGGAAGUAAAAGUCGUAACA